rnacentral:rRNA from 1 species
CCUACGGGAGGCAGCAGUGGGGAAUCUUGCGCAAUGGGCGGAAGCCUGACGCAGCGACGCCGCGUGCGGGACGAAGGCCUUCGGGUCGUAAACCGCUUUCUGCAGGGACGAGGCCCUCACGGUGACGGUACCUGCAGAAGAAGCCCCGGCUAACUACGUGCCAGCAGCCGCGGUAAUACGUAGGGGGCGAGCGUUAUCCGGAUUCAUUGGGCGUAAGGCGCGCGUAGGCGGGCGGUUAGGUCGGGGGUCAAAUCCCGGGGCUCAACCCCGGGCUGCCCCCCAUACCGGCAGGCUUGAGUGUGGUAGGGGAAGGCGGAAUUCCCAGUGUAGCGGUGGAAUGCGCAGAUAUUGUGAAGAACACCGGCUGCGAAGGCGGCCUUCUGGGCCACGACUGACGCUGAGGCGCGAAAGCGAGGGGAGCGAACAGGAUUAGAUACCCUUGUAGUC